rnacentral:rRNA from 1 species
CUGGCUCAGGAUGAACGCUAGCGGCAGGCUUAACACAUGCAAGUCGAGGGGCAUCGGGAGUAGCAAUACUUGCCGGCGACCGGCGCAAGGGUGCGUAACGCGUGAGCAACAUGCCCGUAUCAGGGGGAUAAUCCAUGGAAACGUGGUCUAAUACCCCAUAGUAAUUAUGUAAGGCAUCUUAUAUAAUUUAAAGCUUUGGUGGAUACGGAUUGGCUCGCGUGACAUUAGCUGGAUGGUAAGGUAACGGCUUACCAUGGCUACGAUGUCUAGGGGUUCUGAGAGGAAGGUCCCCCACACUGGAACUGAGACACGGUCCAGACUCCUACGGGAGGCAGCAGUGAGGAAUAUUGGACAAUGGAUGGAAAUCUGAUCCAGCCAUGCCGCGUGCAAGGAAGACGGCCCUAUGGGUUGUAAACUGCUUUUGUAUGGGAGCAAUAAGGGCUACGUGUAGUCCGAUGAGAGUACCAUACGAAUAAGCACCGGCUAACUCCGUGCCAGCCGCGGC